AUUGAACGCUGGCGGCAGGCCUAACACAUGCAAGUCGAGCGGAUGAAGGGAGCUUGCUCCUGGAUUCAGCGGCGGACGGGUGAGUAAUGCCUAGGAAUCUGCCUGGUAGUGGGGGAUAACGUCCGGAAACGGGCGCUAAUACCGCAUACGUCCUGAGGGAGAAAGUGGGGGAUCUUCGGACUUCACGCUAUCAGAUGAGCCUAGGUCGGAUUAGCUAGUUGGUGGGGUAAAGGCCUACCAAGGCGACGAUCCGUAACUGGUCUGAGAGGAUGAUCAGUCACACUGGAACUGGGACACGGUCCAGACUCCUACGGGAGGCAGCAGUGGGGAAUAUUAGACAAUGGGCGAAAGCCUGAUCCAGCCAUGCCGCGUGUGUGAAGAAGGUCUUCGGAUUGUAAAGCACUUUAAGUUGGGAGGAAGGGCAGUAAGUUAAUACCUUGCUGUUUUGACGGUACCAACAGAAUAAGCACCGGCUAACUUCGUG
rnacentral:rRNA from 1 species